GGGAAGGUGGCUCAGUGGUAGAGCGCAUGUCUUGCAUGCCUGAGGCCCUGGGUU
rnacentral:tRNA from 1 species